GGAGGAGUGUCCGAGCGGUUUAAGGAGCUGGUCUUGAAAACCAGUGAUCCUGAAAGGGACCGUGAGUUCGAAUCUCACCUCCUCCG
rnacentral:tRNA from 1 species